GCGGGAAUAGCUCAGUGGUAGAGCACCACCUUGCCAAGGUGGGGGUCGCGGGUUCGAAUCCCGUUUCCCGCUCCA
rnacentral:tRNA from 10 species